AGUGAACGCUGGCGGUAGGCCUAACACAUGCAAGUCGAACGGCAGCACAGUAAGAGCUUGCUCUUACGGGUGGCGAGUGGCGGACGGGCGAGGAAUACAUCGGAAUCUACUUUUUCGUGGGGGAUAACGUAGGGAAACUUACGCUAAUACCGCAUACGACCUACGGGUGAAAGCAGGGGAUCUUCGGACCUUGCGUGAUUGAAUGAGCCGAUGUCGGAUUAGCUAGUUGGCGGGGUAAAGGCCCACCAAGGCGACGAUCCGUAGCUGGUCUGAGAGGAUGAUCAGCCACACUGGAACUGAGACACGGUCCAGACUCCUACGGGAGGCAGCAGUGGGGAAUAUUGGACAAUGGGCGCAAGCCUGAUCCAGCCAUACCGCGUGGGUGAAGAAGGCCUUCGGGUUGUAAAGCCCUUUUGUUGGGAAAGAAAAGCAGCAGGUUAAUACCCCGCUGUUCUGACGGUACCCAAAGAAUAAGCACCGGCUAACUUCGUG
rnacentral:rRNA from 1 species